AAUCAGCAGAAGGUCAGUAGUAGCCUAACAAUACGUCACAAUGGCUGCGUCAUCCACCUCACUUCAUCUCAUCACGUAGGCAUUUUAUGUCACAUCAUCACAAGAAAGAAGAUUAAAAUCUUUAGCUUUCAUGUGGGAAGAGGUCAUCAGGGGACAUGACCACUGAUUGACCUGUAAGCUGGAUCCAGACAACCAGAGGCAUCUCACCACCUACCUUCCCCUAUCCUUGGAAUGUGUGCUGAGCCUACCCAUUCCCAUAGUGGGAACCGUUUUGAAGGAUGCAGCCUUGAGAGAACAAUUUGUAGAUGAGACUGUCUGGAUGGAAUGCAUUACUGAACCCAGGUGGAAAGUGAAUUUGCCAACCAACUUGAAUAAAGCAGAUGCCUCGAUUCCAAUUUGGUGGCUUCUGAUUGUUGGAGGAGUAAUGGAGCUAACAUGUAGAGGCAGGUAGGUCACACUUGGCACAUGAAUAAGUCCUGUUUAGGUACUAGUUAUGAUCAGUAUGAUCAUGAUUAUUGUUAUCAUUAUUUUCAAUUGGUUAGA